rnacentral:rRNA from 1 species
CAGUCGCCGCGGUAAUGCGAAGGGGGCUAGCGUUGUUCGGAUUUACUGGGCGUAAAUGGUGCGUAGGCGGAUUGUUAAGUCAGGGGUGAAAUCCCGAGGCUCAACCUCGGAACUGCCUUUGAUACUGGCGAUCUUGAGUCCGGGAGAGGUGAGUGGAACUGCGAGUGUAGAGGUGAAAUUCGUAGAUGUUCGGAAGAACACCAGUGGCGAAGGCGACUGACUGGACAAGUAUUGACGCUGAGGUGCGAAAGCGUGGGGAGCAAACAGGAUUAGAUACCCGGGUAGUCCCUGUCUCUUAUAC